GACAGAGGGUGCAAACGUUGUUCGGAAUUACUGGGCGUAAAGCGCGUGUAGGCGGCCCUGCAAGUCGGAUGUGAAAUCCCACGGCUCAACCGUGGAAGUGCAUUCGAAACUGCAGGGCUAGAGUCCUGGAGAGGAAGGUGGAAUGCUUGGUGUAGAGGUGGAAAUUCGUAGAUAUUAGGAAGAACACCAGUGGCGAAGGCGGCUCACGUGGCCCG
rnacentral:rRNA from 1 species